rnacentral:rRNA from 1 species
AGCUACCCCAGUUCAGGCGGUGCUACCCGUCUGAUUUAAGCAUUUCAAUAAGCGGAGGA